rnacentral:lncRNA from 1 species
AUGUGUAGGUGGUCGGUCCCAUUGACAACCUCAAAUGAGCUGCCAGCCAACAACCAGCAUCAACUGCCAGUCAGCUUUUGAUGCCAUUGUAUCUGACAUCAUUCUAACAGGAUCAAAUUGAGCAACAACAGCAACCUAAAAAUGAGAAAGCAUGGCUACUUGGAACAAGAUGAAGAAAUAAAGCUUACGGAGGUUAAGUAAAUGACCUGUUUCCAGUGCCGGACUCCAGGCUCUGCUGGUUUUACUUCUAAUGCUUCCAUCGGAGGACAACAAUGGUUACAUUGACUUAAGAUCUGAUGCAAAUGUUUACCUUUUGGGGUCUGUCAUACCAUGAAGCAAACAGACAGAAAAGAAGGAAACAGAUGGCACACUGAAAAUUAGGAUAAGUUAAGAAGAAUGUAAUAAGCGGACAACCGACAAAGGAGGGUGGGAAUGCAGGGCAACCGCAAGGGCUCAUACAGUGCUGGGUGAGGAGGACCCCUGACGGGAGCUGAGAUCUUUGGUGAAGGACACAACUGGUCAGUACAACCCUGCAGGGCAAGGAGCUGCAGAAACAACUAUCCAAACCCCACACCUCUCCCUCACCUUGAUCUCCCAUGUUCCACUUCGGCUGAACCAAACCAAAAGCCAGAGGGCAAGGAAGCCAUGUGUGAAAACUGUGCUACAGAGCAGAAUGGAGAGUGAUACGACUCAGGGAGAAGAUAUCCAGCACUAAAGUAUUAAUGCCUUUUAUUAUAAAUUGUUUGGAAGUAGAUGAUGUCUAUAUGCAUAAAUAAAUAACACUAAUCUCUUUUAAAAAAAAAAAAAAAAAA